rnacentral:snRNA from 1 species
GGACGUGAGGGUGAGCUGGUUGUGACAUCUGUCACCCCAUUGAUCGCCAGGGUUGAUUUGGCUGAUCUGGCUGGCUAGGCAGGUAUCCCCCUCCUCCCUCAAUGCUCCAUGAACAUCCCUCCCAAAGCUUCAUGCUCGGUCACAGAGUGUCACCUUCCCCAAUGGAAGAGGACCAGUUUUCGGUCAAGAGAAGCUACACUCCCCUCCUAGAAUCUCCAAACAAGUUCAGCAAUUAAGAGCACUGGAUGCUCUUGCAGAAGACCCUGGUUCAAUUCCCAGCACCCACAUGAUGGCUGAUAACUGUCUAUAGCU